UACGUAGGGACCAAGCGUUGUUCGGAUUUACUGGGCGUAAAGGGCGCGUAGGCGGCAAUUCAAGUCAUCUGUGAAAUCUCCGGGCUUAACCCGGAACGGUCAGAUGAUACUGCUUUGCUAGAGUGCGGAAGGGGCAAUCGGAAUUCUUGGUGUAGCGGUGAAAUGCGUAGAUAUCAAGAGGAACACCUGAGGUGAAGACGGGUUGCUGGGCCGACACUGACGCUGAGAAGCGAAAGCAUGGGUAGCAAACAGG
rnacentral:rRNA from 1 species